UGGGGAAUAUUGCACAAUGGGCGCAAGCCUGAUGCAGCCAUGCCGCGUGUAUGAAGAAGGCCUUCGGGUUGGAAAGUACUGUCAGUCGGGAGGAAGGUGUCAAGGUUAAUAACCUUGGCAAUUGACGUUACCGACAGAAGAAGCACCGGCUAACUCCGUGCCAGCAGCCGCGGUAAUACGGAGGGUGCAAGCGUUAAUCGGAAUUACUGGGCGUAAAGCGCACGCAGGCGGUUGAUUGAGUCAGAUGUGAAAUCCCCGGGCUUAACCCGGGAAUUGCAUCUGAUACUGGUCAGCUAGAGUCUUGUAGAGGGGGGUAGAAUUCCAUGUGUAGCGGUGAAAUGCGUAGAGAUGUGGAGGAAUACCGGUGGCGAAGGCGGCCCCCUGGACAAAGACUGACGCUCAGGUGCGAAAGCGUGGGGAGCAAACAGG
rnacentral:rRNA from 1 species